rfam:Firmicutes bacterium CAG:227 genomic scaffold, scf213
CGUCAGUAACAACGAAUGACGAGAAGUCAGCAGAAGCCAUAGUAAACUGAUGGUUGCAAACAUUAGCAAAGGGC